rnacentral:lncRNA from 1 species
UCCACCCGCAGACCAAGUCAAGUCAGUUAUAACUCUUCGUAGUGGUAAGGUUGUUGAUAGACCUAUGCCUGAACCUUGUGAAAAUGAUGAAAAUUCAAAGGGUAAGGAAGGACUAAAUGAACUUACACCUAGUGAAGAAAUAACUAGUGUUCCACCUUAACCACCAUUUCCGCAUGCAUUGAAUAAACCAAGGAAAUCAAACCACUCUUCUGAAAUUUAUGAAAUCUUUAAGCAAGUGAAAGUUAACAUUCCUCUAUUAGAUGCAAUCAAGCAGGUACCUUCAUAUGCCAAAUUUUUAAAAGACUUGUGCAUUGUUAAAGAGGAAAUUGAAGGUCAGAAAUAGUGCUUUCAUGGCCGAACAGGUAAGUACAAUUAUGUCUACUAAUAAUAAGUUAAAAUAUAAAGAUCCUGGUUGUCCUACCAUUUCUUGUAUUAUUGGUAAUCACAUAAUUGAGCAUGCUUUACUAGAUCUUAGUGCUAGUGUUAAUUUGCUUCCAUAUUCAGUUUAUCUUUAACUUAAUCUUGAUGAGUUAAAAUCAACUUCAACUACACUUUUGCUUGCCGAUAGAUCAGUUAAAGUACCAAAAGGAAUAGUGGAAGAUGUUUUAGUACAAGUUGAUAAAUUCAUAUACCAUGUGGAUUUUAUUGUCUUGGAAACUGAACCUGUUGUGAAUAAUUACAAACCAAUUCCUAUAAUUUUAGGUCGACCAUUUUUAGCAACUGCUAAUGCUUUGAUUAAUUGUAGGAAUGGUUUAAUGAAUUUAUCUUUUGGGAAUAUGACUUUGGAAUUGAAUGUUUUCAACAUGUACAGGCAACCUAAUGAAGAAAAUGAGAAUGAAGAUGAUACUGAUGAUAAAAAGAAUUGCUUGAAUCUUGUAUUGAGGAAAAUAUUCAAAAAGGGGAAUUUUCUGAACUCUUUGAUGUUUGUUUAGUUAAUUCAAUUGAGUCAAAUAAGCAACUUGAACUUAAUAUUUCUAAUAUAAAUUCGUUGCUUGAUUCUGUGCAGACUUCACAAAAUUAUGAUGACGAGCCAAAAUUUGAGGAGCUUGGAAGUAUUGAAAAGACAGAACAACAAGAAGCACUUAAACUGGAAUUGAAACAUUUGCCUGAAGGAUUGAAGUAUGCUUUUCUUGGAGAAGAACAAACUUAUCCUGUUGUGAUUUCUUCUACUUUAACAAGCGACCAAGAAGGUAAGUUACUAACUGUUCUUAAAAAGCAUAAAAAUGCAAUUGGAUGGACUUUAAAUGAUAUUAAAGGCAUUAAUCCCUUAAUAUGCACACAUAGAAUUAAUUUGGAAGAAAAUGCUAAAACAUGUCAACAACCUCAAAGAAGAUUAAACCCACACAUGAGAAGUCCUUAAAUUUCUUAAUGUGGGAAUUAUCUACCCUAUUUCUGAUAGUAAGUGGGUAAGUUCUACACAAGUAGUGCCUAAAAAAUCUGGAAUCACUGUUGUUAAAAAUGAAAAAGGUGAAUUAAUUCCAACACAAAUUACAUCUAGUUGGCGCAUGUGCAUUGAUUAUAGAAAGUUAAAUGAAGCCACUAGAAAAGAUCAUUUUCCAUUACCAUUCCUUGACCAAAUCGUAGAAAGAGUAGCAGGACAUCCCUACUACUGUUUUUUAGAUGGAUAUUCAAGUUAUUAUCAAAUUCCUAUAGCACUUGAGGACCAAGAAAAUACCUCAUUUACAUGUCCUUUUGGGACAUUUGCAUUUAAAAGAAUGUCAUUUGGGCUUUGUAAUGCUCCUGCAACAUUUCAAAGAUGUAUGUUAAGCAUUUUUUGUGAUAUGGUUGAACAUUGUUUAGAGGUCUUUAUGGAUGAUUUAACUGUGUUUGGGAAUUCUUUUGAUGAUUGCCUUGAUAAUUUGGAGAAAGUUUUGAGAAGAUGUGUUGAAAAAGAACUCGUGUUGAAUUAGGAAAAAUGUCACUACAUGGUUACUUCUGGAAUUGUUUUGGAUCAUGUUGUUUCUGUUAAAGGAAUUGAAGUUGAUAAAGCAAAAAUUUAAUGUCAUUUGGGCUUUGUAAUGCUCAUGCAACAUUUCAAAGAUGUAUGCUAAGCAUUUUUUGUGAUAUGGUUGAACAUUGUUUAGAGGUCUUUAUGGAAGAUUUAACUGUGUUUGGGAAUUCUUUUGAUGAUUGCCUUGAUAAUUUGGAGAAAGUUUUGAGAAGAUGUGUUGAAAAAGAACUCGUGUUGAAUUAGGAAAAAUGUCACUACAUGGUUACUUCUGGAAUUGUUUUGGAUCAUGUUGUUUCUGUUAAAGGAAUUGAAGUUGAUAAAGCAAAAAUUGAAUCAUAUCUAAAUUGCCACAACCAAAAACAGUUAGAGAUGUGCGAUCUUUUUUAGGACAUGCAGGAUUUCAUAGGAGGUUUAUAAAAAACUUUAGUGUUAUAUCUAAACCACUUUGUAACCUCUUAUUAAAAGAUGCACCGUUUGACUAGAAUGAUGAUUGCCAAAAAUCUUUUGAGAAAAUAAUUUGUCUUUUAACAUCUGCACCUAUUAUGCAAUCUCUUGAUUGGUUUUUGCCCUUUGAAUUAAUGUGUGAUGCAAGUGAUUUUACUGUUGGUGUUGUUUUAGGAUAAAAAAGGGAUGGUAAGCCUUUUGUGAUUUAUUAUGCGAGUAAGACUUUGGAUAGUGCUCAAAUGAAUUAUUCUACAACUGAAAAAGAAUUACUUGCUGUGGUAUUUUCAUUAAACAAAUUCCGUUCAUAUUUGCUUGGCUUUAAAUCUGUUGUGUUUAUUGACCACGCUGUUAUGAGAUAUUUGAUGAGUAAACAGGAUGCCAAACCGAGACUAAUUCGUUGGAUUUUGUCUUUGAAUUAAUGCGUGAUGCAAGUGAUUUUGAUGUUGGUGUUGUUUUAGGACAAAGAAAUGAUGAUAAGCCUUUUGUGAUUUAUUAUGCAAGUAAGACUUUGGAUAGUGCUCAAAUGAAUUAUUCUACAACUGAAAAAGAAUUACUUGCUGUGGUAUUUUUGCUGUGGUAUUUGCAUUAAACAAAUUCCGUUCAUAUUUGCUUGGCUCUAAAUCUAUUGUGUUUGAUGACCACGCUGCUGUGAGAUAUUUGAUGAGUAAACAGAAUGCCAAACCGAGACUAAUCUGUUGGAUUUUGUUACUUCAAGAAUUUGACCUUACCAUCAAAGAUAAAAAGGGUGCUGAAAAUGUCGUUGCUGAUCAUCUAUCAAGACUCACAUCCGAAUUCUGCAAUGAUAUAACACCCAUCAAUGAUUCUUUCCCUGAUGAAUUUUUAUUUUCUAUUACUUCAAUGCCAUGGUAUGCUAACAUUGUUAAUUUUCUUGUUACAGGUAAAAUGCCUUUGCAAUGGAAUGCUCAAGAGAAGAAGAAAUUUUUUGUUGAAGUAAAGAAAUUUUAUUGGGAUGAUCCUUAUUUGUUCAAAUAUUGCUCAGAUCAAAUUUUUCGGCGAUGUAUUCUUGAUAAUGAGGUAAGUAGUGUCAUUAAUUUUUAUCAUUCUGAAGCAUGUGGUGGCCACUUUUCGUCAAGAAAAACUACUGCUAAACUUUUGCAGUGUGGAUUUUAUUGGCCUACCAUGUUCAAAGACACAUGAAUUUUGCAAAACUUGUGAAAAAUGUCAAAAAUUGGGAUCAAUUACAAAAUGAAACAUGAUGCCCUUAAAUCCCAUACUUGAAAUUGAAAUAUUUGACUGUUGGGGAAUUGAUUUCAUGGGUCCGUUUCCAUCAUCUUUUGGAUUUGUGUAUAUAUUAGUUGCAGUUGAUUAUGUCUCCAAAUGGAUUGAAGCAAUUUCUUGUCGAAAUAAUGAUAGUAAAACUGUGGUUAAAUUUUUAAGAGAAAACAUUUUAAGUCGAUUUGGAAUCCCUCGAGCCAUUAUCAGUGAUGGAGGUAAGCAUUUUUGUAAUAAGUCAUUUGACUCUUUAAUGAAGAAAUAUGGAAUUACACAUAAAGUUGUUACCCCUUAUCAUCCUCAAACAAAUGGUCAAGUUGAAUUAGCAAAUAGGGAGAUAAAACAAAUUUUGGAAAAAACUGUUAACCCAAACCGAAAAGAUUGGUUUCUUAGACUUAAUGAUGCACUUUGGGCCUACCGUACUGCAUUUAAAACGUCAUUAGGAAUGUCACCCUAUCGGUUAGUUUAUGGUAAACCUUGUCAUUUACCUAUUGAACUUGAACAUAAAUCACUUUAGGCUAUUAAAGCUUUUAAUUCAAAUUUGGAUGAUGCUGGUAAUGUGCGAAAAUUACAAUUGAAUGAACUUGAGGAAUUAAGGAAUGAUACAUAUGAAAAUUUAAGAAUUAUUAAGGCAAGAACAAAAGCAUUUCAUGAUAAAAGAAUUUUUCAAAAAACAUUUGAGAUUGGUCAAAAAGUGUUGCUUUAUAAUUCUCGUCUUCAUUUAUUUUCAGGAAAGUUAAAGUCAAAAUGGAGUGGCCCAUUUGUUGUAAAAAAUGUAUAUUCAUAUGGGGCCAUAAAAAUUGAGAAUCCAAAGAACGAUGUCACAUUUAAAGUUAAUGGUCAAAGAUUAAAACCAUAUCUAGAACAUCACCCACGUGACGAGGACACCGAAAUUAAUUUGGGUGACCCACCAGUUCUUGAUUAAGUCUUUAAUGACUGAUUUUUUUUUGUGUUUUACUAUUAUUUUGCCGUUUCAUUGUUUGAUUUUUUUUUCUCUAGAUUGAUGCACUAUACAUAAUUUUUUUAGCAUUAUUUUUCUUGUUUAAGCGUGUUUGUUUGACAAUUGUUCAUUCUCUCAUCAAUUUUCAUUAUUCAUCAUGAGUACUUCAAUAAGAAACUUCUUUUUCACACAUCUUAAAAGACUUAUACGAGGGAGAUUUAAUAUGAGAAGAUUGAUACAAAGCUAUAAAUCACAUCCACUUUGGGAUCUGCAACCACAGAAUUCGUGUCCUAUGUUGAGGAUCUAGAAGGACAACUUAGAGAAAUAGAGCGUGGUAUAUAUGAAUUUCAAUUAGAUCUUGAGGUUAACUCAAUGAGAGGACGAAUGUAAGUUCAUUUUCCUUUUUACAUUGUGUGUUUAUUUUUGUUGUUCGCCUUCACGUUUGAUUUGAUUUUGCAGCUUUGAUUUUGGUGUAUUUUGGUUUAUUUUCCCGUAUAAAUGGCGUAAGUCGGUAUUAUUGAAGCAAGGUCCGAUUAGCAGGUGAGUUUUCUGAUCCAUAUUAUUUUACUUCACUAUUAUUUUAUCAUUUGCAUUAUUGCAUUUAGUGGUGUGAUUUUGUAUUUAAUAAAUAUUUGUUUUCUUUUACUAUUUGCUUUUGAAUUAUUGAGCCACGAGCUUUACUCGUCAUUUGACAAAUAUGCCAACCCAUUUACAGCUGUUUCUCAUUAUUUCUGUCACCAAGAUCUUUAAAUAUGAGCUCGCUUUUCAAAAACUCACAACUUGUUUUUGAAAGAUUAGUCCAAUGGCAGCAUCUUCGAGUAAACAAUUCAAAAAUAUUUGUAUGUUUUCUGGGUUUCACUAUGGAAAGUACAAAGAGUUUGUUCAGGCAGCAGUAGAUCUUGGUCGUGUCAUAGCAGAGAGGAAACUGCAUCUUGUAUAUGGAGGAGGUGAAUGAGGGUUAUCCAGACUUGUCUCAGAAGCUGUUUUUACUAGAAAAAGCCAAGUACUAGGCAUUAUCCCAAAAGCCAUGAAACCGCUAGUGUGCAUGUCUGGCCCACCAAUUGGAGAAGAAUUAGUGGUAUCAAGUAUGCAAGAGAGAAUAUCUGAAAUGAUGAAUCAUGCUGAUGCUUUUAUUUUCUUGCAGUGGCCCAUUUGUUGUAAAAAAUGUAUAUUCAUAUGGGGCCAUAAAAAUUGAGAAUCCAAAGAACGAUGUCACAUUUAAAGUUAAUGGUCAAAGAUUAAAACCAUAUCUAGAACAUCACCCACGUGACGAGGACACCGAAAUUAAUUUGGGUGACCCACCAGUUCUUGAUUAAGUCUUUAAUGACUGAUUUUUUUUUGUGUUUUACUAUUAUUUUGCCGUUUCAUUGUUUGAUUUUUUUUUCUCUAGAUUGAUGCACUAUACAUAAUUUUUUUAGCAUUAUUUUUCUUGUUUAAGCGUGUUUGUUUGACAAUUGUUCAUUCUCUCAUCAAUUUUCAUUAUUCAUCAUGAGUACUUCAAUAAGAAACUUCUUUUUCACACAUCUUAAAAGACUUAUACGAGGGAGAUUUAAUAUGAGAAGAUUGAUACAAAGCUAUAAAUCACAUCCACUUUGGGAUCUGCAACCACAGAAUUCGUGUCCUAUGUUGAGGAUCUAGAAGGACAACUUAGAGAAAUAGAGCGUGGUAUAUAUGAAUUUCAAUUAGAUCUUGAGGUUAACUCAAUGAGAGGACGAAUGUAAGUUCAUUUUCCUUUUUACAUUGUGUGUUUAUUUUUGUUGUUCGCCUUCACGUUUGAUUUGAUUUUGCAGCUUUGAUUUUGGUGUAUUUUGGUUUAUUUUCCCGUAUAAAUGGCGUAAGUCGGUAUUAUUGAAGCAAGGUCCGAUUAGCAGGUGAGUUUUCUGAUCCAUUUGUUUCUUACAUGCCUAGUUUUGGUAAAAGUACGUUUGCUAAGAAAAGAAGAGCUAAAUGACUUGGCUCAAAAUGUCAUUACUGUGUAAGACUUGGUUGCAAACGAGAAGUUUGUAAAUCUUUAGGAAUGGUGUCUGAUACUCGUGAAGAUAAAAUUAAAUUCGUUAAAGAUGGCCUGAGUAAAGAAUCAUUGGAUGAUAUCUUACGAUCUCUUGAGACGUAUCGUAGCGGACAUGUGCAAUAUGAGAUAUACAAGUUAUGGAGACUAUUCUAAACACAAAGUUCACAGUUUAGUCUUGGGAAUCUGACUCAAAAAGACCAUAUUUGCCAGUUUAUAAGAAAACUGGAUGGGAAGCCUAUCCUUGACCCAUAGAGGGCGUUCAAGCCGUUACUGGACGUAAAACCAGAGGAAUAUGUGAGCCACAAUCACAACUACCAGUAAAUAUCCUUUUACUUCACUAUUAUUUUACUUCACUAUUAUUUUAUCAUUUGCAUUAUUGCAUUUAGUGGUGUGAUUUUGUAUUUAAUAAAUAUUUGUUUUCUUUUACUAUUUGCUUUUGAAUUAUUGAGCCACGAGCUUUACUCGUCAUUUGACAAAUAUGCCAACCCAUUUACAGCUGUUUCUCAUUAUUUCUGUCACCAAGAUCUUUAAAUAUGAGCUCGCUUUUCAAAAACUCACAACUUGUUUUUGAAAGAUUAGUCCAAUGGCAGCAUCUUCGAGUAAACAAUUCAAAAAUAUUUGUAUGUUUUCUGGGUUUCACUAUGGAAAGUACAAAGAGUUUGUUCAGGCAGCAGUAGAUCUUGGUCGUGUCAUAGCAGAGAGGAAACUGCAUCUUGUAUAUGGAGGAGGUGAAUGAGGGUUAUCCAGACUUGUCUCAGAAGCUGUUUUUACUAGAAAAAGCCAAGUACUAGGCAUUAUCCCAAAAGCCAUGAAACCGCUAGUGUGCAUGUCUGGCCCACCAAUUGGAGAAGAAUUAGUGGUAUCAAGUAUGCAAGAGAGAAUAUCUGAAAUGAUGAAUCAUGCUGAUGCUUUUAUUUUCUUGCUAGGAGAUCUUGCAACUUUUGAGGCACUGAUUACGUUUGCAUCUUGGGCCCACUUGAACAUUUAUAAAAAACCCAUCGGUUUGUUAAAUGUUAAUAAUUUUUAUGAUGGCUUUCUAACUUUUAUUAACAAUGCAAUAAAGAAUCAUUUUGUUCCAUAUUCUGUAAAAAAACUCUUUAUCUCUGCUUCUACUACUAAUGAGUUACUUGAUCUUUUACAAGCUUAUACACCAGAGCCAGAUCCAAAGACUUUUGCACUGAAUUGGUCGACUGAUGAUGGUAGCGGUAACAGUAGCAGUAAUAAAAAGUACGAAUUAGAUUUAACUCUCCGUCUGUAAAUAUUUUAUGUUGCAGUGUUUAUGUACCGUCUUCUAAACUCUUUCUCUUUCCUUUUAAAACAUUGAGGACAAUGUCUUUUUCAGGUUGGGGGGAGGGAAUAGUUGAUAAUUGUGGAAUGUCUUAGUCCUAGUGAUGCUUUUACAAAUUUUUUUCCUGUAAAGACUAACUUUGGACUAAAUUUGAGUAGAAGAUGGCAGGAUAUGGAGAGUGCAGUACCUUUAGAAACGCAUCUUCUUAAAUUAGGGUUGACUAACUUAGGACAAAUUUGAGUCGAAGAUGGCAGGAUAUAGAGAAUGUAGUACCUCUAGAAACGCAUCUUCUUAAUCUUAAGAGUGUUGUUUAAAAAAAAAUUGACUUUUUCUUGUUCUUUGUUAUAUGCUUUUAAGCUUCUACAUCAAGUUCAGGUGAGAUCUCCUCCUCUUCUUCUUUUAUUAUUCUCCUUUAUUAUUAUUAUUAUUAUUUUUUGCAUAUUUGUAAAAUUAUAAAAUGUUAAGAUAAUGUUUAGAUUAGGUUGGGGGGUGGGGAGAGUUGACGUAUGUUUUUAAAUACGUGUGUUGUUUUUCUUUUUUUCUUUUCUUUUCUUUGUUUAAAAAAAACCCAAAAAAAAAAAUUAUUUUUGUCUAGGAUGGCUGUGCAAAGAGUCACGACUUUUGAGACGCAUCCUAAUAGUCUUGUUGUAUUAUAUUUUGAUUUUGAAAUUCAUAGUAAAUUGUUUUUAUUCCCUUUUCUUUGAAUUACUCGAAUUUGUGAACUCUCCACUUGGUUAUUAAAUUAUUUAAUUGUUUACUCAUUUAACAGGUAUUAUUGAAUCAUUCUUCACACACACACUAUGACACAUACUAGUGGGUUGGAAGUUAAAAUUUUACAGCAUUUAGUUCUUUUGAUUUAUUAGGAAUAGUAUCUAAGGUAGUAGAAAGUGUAUAUUGCAAAAAAACAAAAACAAAAAAAAAAACAAAAGAAGAAGAAAAAAAAAAGAAAAAAAUGUUUUAUUUUUUUUAUUUUGCUAUAUCUAGAACCCGAGUAAUUAAGUCAGUAAGGGUGUUUCAACACCUAGUGCCCUAAGGUCAACUGGUCUGGGAGUCACUGGCCUAAAGCUUGCUACAUGGGUAAUAGAUAUAUUGUUUGUUUAUUAGAAACCUGAGUAAUUAAGUCCGUAGGGGUGCUUCAACACCUAGUGCCUUAAGGCCAACUGGUCUGGGAGUCACUGACCUAAAACUCGCUACACGGGUUAGAAAUGUAAUAUUUUAAAAAUAUGUGUGAAUAAUCUACUGCCUAAAGAUAGAAUUUCUAAUCAAAAACAAAAAAAAAAACAAAAGAAGAAGAAAAAAAAAAGAAAAAAAUGUUUUAUUUUUUUUAUUUUGCUAUAUCUAGAACCCGAGUAAUUAAGUCAGUAAGGGUGUUUCAACACCUAGUGCCCUAAGGUCAACUGGUCUGGGAGUCACUGGCCUAAAGCUUGCUACAUGGGUAAUAGAUAUAUUGUUUGUUUAUUAGAAACCUGAGUAAUUAAGUCCGUAGGGGUGCUUCAACACCUAGUGCCUUAAGGCCAACUGGUCUGGGAGUCACUGACCUAAAACUCGCUACACGGGUUAGAAAUGUAAUAUUUUAAAAAUAUGUGUGAAUAAUCUACUGCCUAAAGAUAGAAUUUCUAAUGAAUUUUGGAACGAAAAUGUUGUUUUUCUUUUAAUGAAGCCCCAUAAGUAUUGUGUUAAUUACUUGAGCACAAAAGAAGGUUUGAUGAUAUUCUGGAUAAUGAGUGAAUAUCAAUGUUGUAAAGAAAUUUGGGAGAGUUCAUUUAUUUAGUAGUUUAGAGGAUAGAUGAACAACUAUUAACUUGCAUGUGAAUUUUAUAAAUCUUAAUUUAAUAUAACGCUUUAAUUGCUAGAGGGCUAGCAAUAAGCUGGUUGGGGGGUGUGAUUAGUAUUAAAAAUUGUUUAAUUAUCAAGCGAUAAUAAUAUAUUAGAAAUUAUUAAUUAUGUUUUAAAUAAAUUUAAUUUUGUGUAUUUUUAUGUGUUUAUUAGGAAAUAUAUUAAUUUCACGGAAUUCGAGGCUCCAAACAGAUAAACGGAGGUCAAAUUUGGAUUUCGGAGGUCUGGAAACCUUAAGAUCAGUCAAGAUCGGCUUAAAAUUGGGCUUGUGUAAAAAAAGUUGACUUUUUCUGUUGACCGAGCACUGAUUGGAUGAUGAAAUGAGCUUACAAUAGAUAUGAGUGCAUGGGAUAUCUGGUAAUUUUGACUAAAUCUCAACCAUUCAUGAUUCAAUGGCCAUGAUUGUGCCACGUGGCAAUGGUUAGUGAAGCAAGUUGUAGGAUCCGAAUCUUUGUAUACGGGUCGACCCGAUCCACUCAUUAACCCGCCAAAUCUCAACCGUUCUUUGGAUAAAUCAAACAAGUCAAAUGAUGCCACAAAUUCUGUCAAUCUCCCUGUAAUCUUGAUUUUCAGGUGUGUUUAUAAUAUUUUCUAUAAUUAUUUUUAUAAAUAAAAUUAGUUUUAUUUCCAAUUUAAAAUUUGGAUUUAUUGUAGACAAACAAAUGAAUUUGGCACAAUAAAUUCUUAAUAUCUUAAUAUACUGCUGUACCGUACAUCCGCCUUGGCCGUACAGAUAUAAGGCAUGGUGAAAUGGUAUUUUGACUUAUUGUAGACAAAUUAAAUUUUGACACAAUAAAUACUUAAUCCAUCAUAAAAUUAAAGGGAAAAUAAUAAUAAUUUACAAUUAAUCUUUUGGGAAAUAAAUCUAAAAAAAAAGGUAAAAAGAAUUUAUUAAGUUUUAUUUACUUCUAAGAGUGGAUCCAUAACCCUAACUAGCUCAAUUUCAUAGUUUCAUUUAAAUUAAGUUGUUUAUAUUUAAGUUUUAAUUUCAAUUUNNNNCAUAGUUUCACAUAAAUUAAGUUGUUUAUAUUUAAGUUUUAAUUUCAAUUUCAUUUUUUAGAUAAAAUAAAAUAAAUAAAUUAAAUCUUUUCUCUAAGGAUCGACCUCGGACUCAUUGAGCUAUAAUAUAAUAAGAUACUCUUAUAUUUGGGAGUUAAAAAUUACUUUUAAUUUAUGGGCCUAACUUCUCAAACUCUCAAUUGCUUGAACAUUGAUAAAGGUAUAAAAUUAAUGCUAGCCCCCAUAUCACAAAGUGCCUUACCAUUGUACUUAGUUCCUAUGGAAUUUGGGAUUGUGAAACUCCUUGGAUCUUUCAACUUCUGAGGAAUUUUGUUUUGAAGCAUAUGGCUACAUUCUUGUGUUAGAGCAACAGUUUCUAACUCUCCAAGCCUUUUUUUCUUUACCAAAAUACCUUUUAAGAACUUCACAUAAUUUGGCAUUUGUUCUAGGGCUUCCACAAGAGGAAUAUUAAUAUGUAGUUACUUUACACUUCCAAGAAUUUGCUGAAUUGCUUAUCUUACUCUUGCUUUUAGAAUCUUUAAGGGAAAGAUGAUGGGUAUCUGAACUAUUGUGCUAUUGUAGGCUGUACAGACUACUUCUUUUUUGCCAUGUUAUGGGCUGAUGUGGAUGGUGUUGUGGGAUCUUUACCAUCAUGUGGUGGAUCAUCAUUUUCUGUAGAUAUUGUAACUUGGCUAUUCACACCAGUGGGUCGGAAAGUAGGUUGUUGUGGCUCUUUUUCAAAUUGAGUUUCUUCUUGGGCUAAAAUGGGUUCAACGCUUCUUUUUGUGCACCAACUGAAAUAUAAACAUUAUUUCUAGGCCUUAAAUUAAUCACCUUGUAUUGUUCCUUUCCUUCUCAUCUUGGAUCCUCUGUAUUGUUGGGUAAACUACCCUGAGGUCUGUUACUCAAUGUUGUAACAAGCUAUCCAAUCUGAUUUUCAAAGUUUCUUAAGGAUACAACUUAACUCUGAACUACUGCUUCACUUUUCACAAUGUACUCUUUGAUCAAAGCUUCAAGAGAACUGAGUUGAUUAUUGUUGGUGCUUCUUUGCCUUUAAUUUUGUUGGUGAAAUCCAGGUGGUUGAGCAUGCCUAUUUUGUCCACUGGAUGCUGCAACAUUAUGGUUUUAAUUGCUCCAUGAGAAGUUUGGGUGCUGUCUCCAUCCAAGAUUAUUUUGAUUCUAUCUAUUGAAGUUACCCACAUAGUUAACUGAUGCUGGAUUUCCAAGACAAUUGUCAAAUAAAUGCCCUUUUCCACAAUAAACACAAGAGACCUCAUGUAACUUGGUUAACAGUUGCUGGAGCAGUAGUCACAACUUUCACCAUAUUUGUUAAUGAGGUUACUUGGGCUGAUAAUGUUGUCAAGGCGUCUACAUUAUGGAUUCCUUCUGCUCCUCUUGCUGCAGCUUCUUGGUAGAUGGCCACUUAUAAUUAUUUUUGCUAUCCUUUCCAAAAUUUCAUAAGCCUCAUUAUAAGACAUAUAUAACAAGGCUCCAAUUGCUGAAGCGUCCACCAUUAAUCUAGUGCUUGGAUUAAGAUCAUUGUAAAAGGUUUUCAAUUGUAUACAUCAAGGAAUGCCAUAAUGAGGACAUCUCCUGAGUAACUCUUUGAACUUUUCCCAUGCAUCAUACAAGCUCUCAUCUUCAAGUUGAUGGAAGGAUGUGAUCUCAUUUCUUAAUUUUGUACUCUUGGUUGGUGGAAAGUAUUUCAUCAAACAUUUGUUAGCCAAGUCAUUCCAUAUGGUGAUGGAAUCAGGUUGUAGGGAGUUCAACCAUGCUCUUGCUCGAUCCCUUAAAGAAAACGAGAAAAUUCUGCGGCUUAAUGCUUUAUGUGAUGCUCUAGUAAUCUUAAAAGCAUCACUUACUUCAAAAAACAACUUAAAGCAUAGGUGAGGAUCUUCUAAUGGCAGUCCAUUGAAUUGCCCCCCCACUAUCUAUAGCAUCUGAAACAUCACUAGUUUGAGCUCAAAAUUAUCAGCUUGCACUUCAGGUCUAACUAUUCCAGAAUUUAUGGCUUGAGGGGUCAGCACUGCAUAAUCUCUAGUGGCUUUAUCUCUAUCAUCUGCCAUAUGAAUAAUAUUAUUAUUCUCUGGUUGCCCAUAAAUAAUCUACCCAUUCUAACAUUCUUGACCUCCUUGUGCAUUUACUGGUUCAAUUACUCUACGAGGGUUCAAAUUCCUCAUAUCUUGCAAAUCAUCCAUUGCUACAACAAUUUUUGAAUUUCUUUACUCUUUUCUCAAUCUCCUUGUAGUUCUUUCAAUUUUUGGAUCAAACUAAAAUUCAACAGUUCUAUAUUGUGUAUGCAAGGGUUCCUAGAUUACUCUUGUUAACAAAAUAAACAAAUUAAAAUUAAAUUAAAAAUUAGCACCGAUUAAGAUUAAUUUCAUAAAUCACAACGAACAAUCAAUACCCGACAAUGGUGCCAAAAAUUUGUAGGGUGAUUUUUAUUGCUAUGGGUGUCAAUGUGCAAGUGUAGACAACAAGUAAUAUACUGAUGACUAUUUAGAUCGUCUCUACAGGAAUUGAUGUUAUCAAAUUUGCUACAACAAUCCUAACAGUAUAAUUUCUAUUUAAAUUAAAGCAAAAUAAUUAAUGAGACGAAUAAACUAACUAAAUUAAAAUGAAUGUAACAAAUAGUUUUCAAUGAGAAAAAAAUCUCAAGCCAACCACCAGGACAAACUCAAUGGGAAUAGAGUAGUUAAGUAAUUAAACUCACUUAAUGGUGUUGACUGUUUCUCUAAUUUAGACCCUGUUGCUACAGUACCUACUACAGCACUGGGCAGAAUCCCUUAUGCAUCCUCAGCUAUCGCCUGUUAGAUAUCUUAUAUCUAAAUGCAACUUAACAGUGACCAUUUGUUAUGCUAACAUCAUACAUAACAUUAUGCAUUGUAGGUUCCACUUACUCUACAAAGUGAAUCCUUAUGUCUAGUUCUUCUUAGAUCAAGCAUGGCCCUAUUCAAGUUAAGUAAAUCUCAACUUGAGAAAUCCAAUCUAAAAUCAAGUAUUGUCUUAAAUUGACCCACUAAGUUAGACAUUUUUUUAGGUUUUUUCUUAGCUAGUAUCCAUUAAAUGGGUGGUCAGCCCAAAUAGAGAAUUGCAAUAAAUAAAAUUAAGACAAAAUGCUAUAGCAAAUACAAAGCAACACACAUAUGUCAAUCAAACAUCCAUUAAGAUCGUUUCUCACUCAACCACAAUCAAAUUCAGUUCAUGAUUUGUGAUAGAAUAGUAAAUAAAUUGUUUUAACCAUUAAAUACAUCCUCAUCAAUAAAUAAAAACAAGAAAAUAAAAAAGAAGAACUGAGUUAUGCUUGGUUUUUGUAAUUUCUACUUUGUUUUCUCCUUGAGUCCUCUGUUAUAGCCCUCAAAUCUAUCUCUAAAUUUUUGUUUUCUUAUUGUUUUUCUUUGUAUUCUCCUUAACUAUAUUAUAAAAGAAUAGAAAAUAAAUUUGACUUGAAUUCACUCAGUUUUUUAUUUGAAUUAAAUUUAACUUGAAAGAAAGAUGAAUCAAGAGAUUUUUUGGUACGAUAUUGGAAUUUCAAGUACCUUUUCCCUCUCUUUUUAGCCUAGUCUAGACUCUAGAUGAAUCAAUAUCUUUUUGUUAUAAAGCAAUAAGAUUAUAAGAACUAGAAAUGUCAUUGUUGCAUAUCUUACAAAUAUGAAUGAUUUAGCAUUUAAAAAGCCCAAAAUUUUGUUUAAUAAAUCAUCAUUUUUUAUAAUUCAAAGGCUUUAUAAUUAUAUGUUAAGUUAUAGGUGCCAUAUUCCAAAAGGCACCAAAUCAUAUCAUGUGCCCAUCCUAUCAGAUAAAAGAAGGUAUUAAGGAAAAAUAACACUCAAGUUAUUUCGGGGUAAAUAACACCCAAGUUAUUCCGGGGGAAUAACACCUAAGGAAAAAUUCGUUCAAAGCUUAUAAAAAUGGCAAGAGGGGGGAAUUAGUUCCGCAAUCCUUUAGUCUAAGGAAAUCGCACCCAAAGGUCAUACAAUUAAGGAAAUACACAAGGUUGAAAUAUUUCCCUAGAUCAUAUUCACCUCCACGUGUACAAAAAUGAUGGGUGGCAUAUCAAAGCAAAACCCUAAAUCCACAUCAUUCAUCAUCUAUAAAUAGAGACCCAUCUCUAAGAGAAAGGAGGUUUUUGGCCUCCAAGAUCAUUGUUCAUCCUUAGAGAGAAAAAACUCAUUUUCUCCAUCUUUCUUCUUUAUUUAAUCUUGAUCAAACACUAACUUAGGCGUCGAAGUACCCUUUUCAAGUACUCACCCUUCCGGAAUCGAGGCCAACGAUUGUGACAAGUUCUCUACAAGCUACAAAUACGUGUAAAGGUAAAAAAUUCCAACACCUUCAUUGGAGCCGUCUAUGGGGAAACUAGGUUGAAAAUUUUUCUCUCACUAAAACCCACAUGAACACUACUUUACCAUCAUCUUUUUAGAUUAGAUCUGGUUGGGUGUAGUUGAAAAAGAGAUGAAUACUCAUAUAUGCUUAUGAAAAAUGGGUUUAUGUGUGACACUCAAACGUCAAACGUGCUUAAAAAGGCAUUAAAGCCAAAAAUCCAAGAGCAAAAAUGGAGAUCUCUCCUCCAAAUGCCUUACUGGAAAAAAAAAUAGAGAAAAUAAAGAAGAUGAAGGAGUCAUUUGGUCAACAUAAAACUUUGACCAAAAAUAAAAUGUCAACAAUAGUCAAAUGGGCUUAAAAUAGUCUCCAUGGCUAAACCUAAGACUAAUUUAUCAUUCAUUUUAUUUUCUCUUCAUUUUCCUUUUAUUAUGCUCAUUCCUAGCAACUAUGCUAACUUAUUUACGUUCCUGCCAUUCUAUUUAUUCUAUGAUACUUCUUUCUUUUUCCACGAGUGAGGCUAAGAAAAACCUAAGCAUCUACCUUACCAAGGGGAAUAUAUGAAGGGUAUUAAACGGACGUGGAUCAACAUAACUCUAUGUUUUAAUCUAACAAUUAUAAUAUUUUUUACUUUACUUGACUUACAAACGUGUGAGGCUAAGGAAAACCCAAAUAUUGACCUCCCGAUGGGAAAUAGAUAAAUGGGUAUUAUACCGACAUGGAUUAACUUAAUUUUCCUGACAUAAUAUGCAACUAAUAAUUAUCUUUACGCAUCUAACCUUUACAAUUACGUAUUUACUCUUCAGUUAUUUGCAAAUUUCAUAAUGUUAGAUGCUGAUUCUGGAAGGAAGUAGAAACUAUGGAAAACCAAAAAUUAAAUGCAAAAUUACCUGCAUUGGAGCAACAGUUAAAAGAGUAGCCUCGGAAAAGCUAAAAACAAGCAGAGAGACAAAUUGGUCACCAAAAGAGAGGGUCGGAACCCACAUAGAAUAAGCCCAAAAACAAAUAUAAUGAGCUGAUAGUGAUGAGGAACGAAGGUUCCAAAGAUGCCUAUGGAAGGGAACUCAAAAGAUCCUAAAGGAGCUCUAAAAAAAAUUUUCAGAUGUCAUCCACACCAGAUGAUGCAUGCUCUUAAGCAACAGCCAAAAGAGUAGCCCGGAAAAGCUAAAAAGAAACAAAGUGGUAAAUUGCUCACCAAAAGAGAUGGUCCAAAUUCACACAAAAUAAACAUAAAAAGGCACAUAAGGAACUGAUAGUGAUGAGGAACAAAGGUUCCAAAAAUGCCUACAGCAAAAAAUUCAAAAGAUCCUAAGAAGAAUCUAGAAAAAAUUUCCAGGUGGCUUCUACAGCAAAUGAUGCCAUUGUAGCAGCCCUAUUAGGAAAAAGUUAAAGUUCAUUUGAAUGACAUUCUAGACUAAUCUAAAUGAUUAUUUAGAUUGAUAUCUUGUAAAAGAGGAACAUUCUGUUUUAGCUCUUACAACUCUUGAAAAUAUUGAUCGAAUUGACAUUGUGCAACUCAUUUACUCGGGCAAUUGAUCACAAAAUGUAAAAACUAUUCCAUAGUCUCAAAAAACUCAUGCACUGCACUAAUGAGCAUUCGCAUGCAUAAACAUUCAUAUCUAUGCAUCUCACAGGAAUCCACAUUCAUCGUUGACUUAUGAGCGCUCAUGAUCAUCUCAUACAUUAUCAUAUAUGCUUCCAAAAAUCUCAAAAUUCAUUUUACAACCGACCAAAUUGCCUAUGGAAAUUUCUCAUUUCUUGGUACAACUUUAGUAUAUGAAAAAGUUCAAGGAACAAGGAAUUUUCCCUUUUAUGUCAAGAGAAAAGUAACAAAAAAUAUUCCCUCCUACGUCGAGGGAAAAUUAGAUUUCUAGAUCAAAAAACAAGAAAUAUUUCCUCCUACGUCAAGGGAAAAGGUGAAAGAACAAAAAAAAUUGGAAAAGCUGAAAGAAAAAAAAAAUUCCCUCAUACACCAAGGGAAAAGUAGAUUUCCUCCUAGAAUUUCAGUUCAAGGGAAAAGUUUUAGAAACAAUUAAUAUUCCUCUAUUAUAUUACAGGGAAAGUAGAUUUCCUCAUAGAACCUUAAUUCAAGGGAAAUAUCUAAGAACAAUUAAUAUUCCCUCUUAUGUUAAGGAAGAACAAUUAGUAUAUUUCCACAAAAAAAUUCCAGUUUAGGAGAAAAUUUCCCUAAUAAAAUUAUUCGAAACAACUUAUUUUUCCCAAGGCUAAUGUAAAGGAAAAACAUCCCUGAGCCAAUAAGAAGAAAAAUUUCCUUAAUGAAAGUCGUCCGCAAUAAAUCAUAUUUCCUAGGCUAACAAAGUGGAAAAAUAUUCCCAAGGCCAACACGCCCUCUUCAUUUCACCCAAACAAAAAUUGAUCGUGCAUAUCAGCCCAUAUAAAUCAACUAAGGUUCAGUUACCAACCAAAUGUUCCAUCCAACCAUAACAACAUAAUACCACACCUGACAAUUAUACAAGACACUAGAUUAAACAAAACUGAAGUACUACAUCCAGCCCUUGCUUGCCAAACGGAAAGCUUCUGAAGGGAUAGAACUGUUCAACUAGUUGAACAAAGUACUACAUAUGGGCGAUACAAACUUCUAAAGGUUUCGUUGCAAAAACUUUAUCAUUCUAUCAAAGAUAGAGGGUUGUUGUACCCCUACUACCUUUCAUCGGAAAAGAUCACAAGUGAGAUAGUAGCAGAUUCUAUUAAUUCCAUGCUGCCCAUGGGCAUACCACAUCAUUAUGUUGUGGUGUGAAAAAUCAAUUAGAAGAUUUAAUAAGAAAUCGUUACCUAAAUGAAUAUAUUGAUAAGAUUUAAUAAGAAACCGUUACCUAAAUGAAUAUGUUGAUGACUCUUUUCUCUUGGUAGAUCAAUCGUACAUACCAAAGGAGGCAGGUAUAGUAAACCUAAUAAGAGAAGAACCAACAACUAGAGUUAUCGCAAGAGGCCCCACACUAGCAGGAGGUUUCAAUAGGCCUGCAAAAAUUAUGGGAAAUAUACUAUGCCCAACCACAAUGUCCUUUUUAAUAAGCCUUUACCAGAGCUCACAAAAACUAGCCAAGUAACAUUUAUGUGGACCGAAGAUGACAAAGAAGAAGUGUUGUACCCUAAUGCAUAUGCACUAGUUAUUAAGGCAAAUGUAGCAAGCAAGGAGCAUAAUAAAAUUCUAGUAGAGUUAGGCAGUUUAGUUGACAUUUUUUUAAGCCAGUUUAGAUCAGAUGGGAACAACGGAUUUGAAGUUAAAGCCCAUCAAUACCUCAUUAAAAGGGUUUGGAGGAGGAAAUUGAUGUUAAUAGGAGUUAUGGACCUACCGAUCACUGUUAGGAUGAAACCUUUUGGAAAUAAAAUGAUGUUGACUUUAUAUAUAUAUAGGAAAAUAGUUCUUACUAGACCUACUAGAUAAUACUUAAGAGAACUUUUUUGAGAAUUAAUAAGUCUGUAAUGUCCACCUACUAUUUGAUACUUAAAUAUUGAAUAAAAUGGUAUGAUAAGGUAAGGUGACUAGAGGGUGGUGAAGAGCUGUUACGAAUCAGCGGCCAAUGAGACAAUAUAGAUCACAUCCUUUGACACGCGAGGAGAGUCUAAGAAAGGCAAACAAAAACCAAUGGAGACCCUAAUAAUGAUGAAAUCAAAUAAGCUUGAAAACCAUUAAGAUAGGAUCCAAGUUGGAGAGUGAAUUGAAAACUAGAUUACAAGAAUUUAUGUGGCAACGCUCUGAUGUGUUCGCCAAGAUGAUAAAAGAUCUUUCAAUCAAAAGAGAUACGAUGUUAUUAGUGUGGAGGUAGACAAGCUCUUGCAUGUUGGCUUUAUUAGAGAAGUAAGUAACCUUGAUUGGAUAUUUAAUACGGUGCUGGUGAAAAAGGCCAACGAUAAAUGGAGAAUAUGUGUAGAUUUCACAGACUUUAAUAAGGCAUGCCCAAAGAACAAUUUCCCAUUACCAAAAAUUGAUCAGUUGUUCAUCUCCACAUCAGAACACGACCUCCUCAGUUUUAUAGAUGGAUUUUCAAGAUACAAUUAGAUUCUCAUUUUCAAGUUGGAUAAGGAGCAUAAUGACUUUAUUAUUAAUCAAGGACUUUACAGUUACAAAGUAAUGCCCUUUGGCUUGAAAAACAAUAGAGCAAUAGACGAGAGGCUACUUAACAACAUCUUUAAGCCCUUGAUAGGUAGCUCAAUGGAAGUAUAUAUGGACAACAUGAUUAUCAAGUCUAAGGAUCUUACCGAUCACAUGUAGCAUCUAGAGGAGAACUUUAGCCUAUUAAGGAAAUACCAGAUGAAGUUAAAUCUAAAACAGUGUGUGUUUGGAGCAAGCAUCAGGAAAUUCUUAGGGUUCACCAGAAGCCACAAAAGAAUAGAAGCUAAUCCUGAGAAAAUUCGUGUUAUUUUAGAAAUAAGAUCGCCUCUCACAUUAAAAGAGAUACAGGUCUGAUAGGGAAUCUGGCAUCCCUAAAUAGAUUCAUCCUAAAGGCGGCAGACAAAUGUCAUAUUUUCUUCAAGAUCAUGAGAAAAUGAAACAAGACUGAAUAGACACUAGAGUGCAAGGAGGCUUUAGAGUAGUUAAAGGAUUACUUGAGUAGAGCACCAUUAUUGUCAAGUCCGCGAGCAAGGGACAGAUUGUAUAUUUACCUAGUAGUCUCCAGAUGGGCUUCCCGUUCAAUGCUAAUAAGGGAGGAAGCAGAAGCACAACACCCAGUUUAUUAUACUAGUGAAGCCUUCCUUGAUGUAAAGACUCGGUACCAACCAGUAGAGAAAUACGCCUUGGCAUUGAUGGCCCUUGUUCGAAAGCUAAGACCUUACUUUCAAGCAUACCCAAUUGAGGUUCUGACAAACUUGUCAUUGCGUCAAACCCUACACAAGCUCGAAGCCUCAAAGCGUUUAGUAAAGCGGUCAGUGGAAUUGAACGAGUAUGAUAUCAGCUAUAGACUGUGAGCAACAAUAAAGGUAUAAACACUAGUAGAUUUUGUAGUAAAGUGGUCAGAGCAACAUCAAAAAGCCCUUAUAGUUAAAGGCAAUGAGGAGCCAAAGAAGCUACCAGAAGAUACGAGCAGGAAUUGGUUGGUAUUAGCAAAUUAGUACUCUCGAGUUUGUGGAGCUGGAGCAAGGAUAGUCUUAUACAACCCUAAAGGCAAGAAAGUUUUUUAUGCUAUAAAACUCGAAUUAAAGGCGACCAACAAUAAAGCAAAAUAUGUAGCCUUCAUCAAUAGGUUGAAAUUAAAGCAUGCUUCACAAGACGAUAAAGUAAAAGUUAAAACAUAUUUCCAUCUAAUAGUGAAUCAUUUGAAUGGAAACUUUCUGGCAAAAGGGAGGGGAAAUAAAGGCAAACCUGAACAAAGCCAAGCAAAUGGCAACCAAAUUUCAACAACUCAUAAUAGAGCAUAUCUCGAGGGAAGAGCAUUACAAAGUAGACGUCCUUGUUAGGCUGCUAUCUCGGCACACUCUAAGAUCCCAAAAUACGUCCCGGUAGAGGCCAGGACUACACCAAGUGUCGAAGUCGAACUCGAGAUAAUGCAUGUUGAUAAAGGGGAAAGUUGGAUGGACCCAAUCAUUUCGUAUAUUCGAGAUGGGAAAUUGCUAGAAGACAAUAUCCAGCUACAGUACAAGGGGUGUAUCGUACCUUUCUUUUAUCUUUUUGUGCUACCAUCAUUAGAGCUGACACAAAAG